rnacentral:misc_RNA from 1 species
GUGAAUUUGUAGCCUCCAAGGCUCACAUUCUCUAUCCUUUACACACCUGUGCACCCUUCUGAAGCGGAGAGUUAUUAGGCAUUUGCCGAGCGCCUCCCUUCGGUUAUCAUAUCAACUUCAAACUACGUUUACUAGAAUGUAUACCGUCUUGUUGUAACGACAAGUACAAUCCAAUA